GACCGCUCUGGUGGCCUAGUGGUUAGAGCGUUUGCCUUAGAUGCGGUAGGUCGCGGGUUUGAACCCUGGCCGAGUCA